rnacentral:rRNA from 1 species
ACUAGUGAAUAAGGGGUGGGCAAGUUCUGGUGUCAGCCGCCGCGGUAAAACCAGCACCUCAAGUGGUCAGGAGGAUUAUUGGGCCUAAAGCAUCCGCAGCUUGCUCUGUAAGUUUUCGGUUAAAUCUAUAUGCUCAACGUAUAGGCUGCCGAAAAUACUGCAGUGCUAGGAAGUGGGAGAGGUAGACGGUACUUGAUAGGAAGGGGUAAAAUCCUUUGAUCUAUCGAUGACCACCUGUGGCGAAGGCGGUCUACCAGAACACGUUCGACGGUGAGGGAUGAAAGCUGGGGGAGCAAACCGGAUUAGAUACCCGGGUAGUCCCAGCUGUAAACGAUGCAGACUCGAUGAUGCAUUGGCAUAUAGCCAGUGCAGUGUCGCAGGGAAGCCGUUCAGUCUGCCGCCUGGGAAGUACGUACGCAAGUAUGAAACUUAAAGGAAUUGGCGGGGGAGCACCCCAAGGGGUGA